CUUAUAAUCAUAACUUUAUUCAUAUAUUUUCUAAUAGUAAUUCUUUAUAUUUAAGAAAAUGGAAUCAAAAGACUAAUAAACUAUGACAUGUACUUACAUUUUUAUCUAAGUACAAUGCUACUACCAACAAGAUCAUAAUUCAUUCAUCCUUUGCAAAUUCUCUUUUCUCAUCCACCUUACCCUCAUUUAAACUAACCAAUGAGAGUUCUCCAUUGGUCUGUUCCAAAUCCCCUUGAUUAUUUUCAUUUAUUUCUUCCAAGGGCUUGUAAUUGUAAAUCCAUGCACAUAUUACAUAAUAAAUGAAAUUUAUGACUUGAAUCCCACAAACAAGAAAAUAAUAGUACUCCAAUCUUCCCCUAUUGAGGUUCCUAUCAGGUAACCAAUUCCUCUCCUUACCAGUAUACUUAUGCACAAGUGUUACCAAUAAUGUACCAAUAAAGUGUCCAAUAGCAAUAGCUAUGCAGUACAAAGCAGUAGCACUGCUUCUCAUACUUUCAGGUGAUUGAUCAUAGAGAAAUUCUAAAUGUCCAACAUUCAUGAAAACUUCAGCCACUCCAUGCAAAAAAUACUGAGGUACCAACCAAAACACACUUAUAGGGAUAAUUGCUUUUGGACUAUCUAAUAAGUGGUAUUUGGAAGCAACUUUUUUUCUUUUGAUUUCCACCAAUGCUGAAACUAUAGUGGCUAUAAUGUUAAUCACAAAGCCUAUUCCCAUUCUUUGCAAACAUGUGAUUCCAGCAGGAUUCUUUGUGAAUCUACGGAUG
rnacentral:lncRNA from 1 species